AGUGAACGCUGGCGGUAGGCCUAACACAUGCAAGUCGAACGGCAGCACAGUAAGAGCUUGCUCUUACGGGUGGCGAGUGGCGGACGGGUGAGGAAUACAUCGGAAUCUACUUUUUCGUGGGGGAUAACGUAGGGAAACUUACGCUAAUACCGCAUACGACCUACGGGUGAAAGCAGGGGAUCUUCGGACCUUGCGCGAUUGAAUGAGCCGAUGUCGGAUUAGCUAGUUGGCGGGGUAAAGGCCUACCAAGGCGACGAUCCGUAGCUGGUCUGAGAGGAUGAUCAGCCACACUGAAACUGAGACACGGUCCAGACUCCUACGGGAGGCAGCAGUGGGGAAUAUUGGACAAUGGGCGCAAGCCUGAUCCAGCCAUACCGCGUGGGUGAAGAAGGCCUUCGGGUUGUAAAGCCCUUUUGUUGGGAAAGAAAAGCAGCAGGUUAAUACCCCGCUGUUCUGACGGUACCCAAAGAAUAAGCACCGGCUAACUUCGUG
rnacentral:rRNA from 1 species